UACGUAGGGCGCAAGCGUUAUCCGGAAUUAUUGGGCGUAAAGAGCUCGUAGGCGGUUUGUCGCGUCUGCUGUGAAAGACCGGGGCUCAACUCCGGUUCUGCAGUGGGUACGGGCAGACUAGAGUGCAGUAGGGGAGACUGGAAUUCCUGGUGUAGCGGUGAAAUGCGCAGAUAUCAGGAGGAACACCGAUGGCGAAGGCAGGUCUCUGGGCCGUAACUGACGCUGAGGAGCGAAAGCGUGGGGAGCGAACAGG
rnacentral:rRNA from 1 species